GGUGGAGGACUUUCAUAUCUCUUAGGAUUCGAUAGACUGUCGAGCAUGUCACGAUCUGGGGGCAACAAGAGUGUCCUUUGAAGUGAGCUCUAACGGUGAUCUUUUCAUUUCCCGCCAUGAUCUUAGUUGGCCAUACGACAUCCCUUUUAAUCUUAGCCCAGCGAUCCUCUCUUAAGUUUAAAGGUGGAGCUUACUCAAACUUCUUCUUUUCCUGUGCGAUAAACUGCUUGACUUUAGCAAUUUCCUUGUCUGCCUAGUCGGCCCUCCUAAUCAGUCUCUUGACCUCUUCUUUUUACAUUUCUUCCACUAGGGCUAACUCGACUAUCUGUCUUUUCAGUUGUGUGGUCCUUGAAUCCAUGAAAAAUUUUCCUGAAAGAAUAGGAAUACAUUUAAAAAGAAAGUUAAUAAAAAUGGUUGAGGACUUUCUGAGAAACUUGGGGACUUGGACUGUUCUGAACGAACUUUCGGUAGUAGGCGUAUAUUUUUUGCCUAAAGGGUUUUCUAAGGAUUAGAGGAGUAGAUCAAUUUACCUUCAAUUUAAUAACAGACAUAGAACAUCACAUAAGAUAAUUAUAUCAUACAACAAAUAGAAUAGUAAAUAGCGUGUUUUAAUUGGGUGACCCUUUUGGGCCAAGGGUUGGCUAGCAUCAAGUAAUUGAGAUUAUGAUAAAUUGAUCUAAGCCAUUAAGCCAUUAAUUUGAGACAAACUUAAAGUUUGAAAAUAAAAGUGUCAAGUUUCAUUGAAAUAUUAAUCGAGUAUAAUGAUAAGAAAUAAGAUCAAAAUACAUGCAAAAAGACAACCCUAAAACUUAGCCUAGACCUUAUUUCUGAUCGUGCUGGUGGAGGACGUGAAAAUGAUGCCUCAAUAUUGUUGGGCCCCGCUUUCAUAUUUUCCAAAUACUGUAUUAUGUACGACAUUUGAGCACACAUUUCAGGCGUGACCACUGUGGUUCUAAGACGAAAAUGCCUUAUCCAAAUAGUUAUCCCAACAUCCUCAAAACCUUAAUCCCCUUCUAGAUUGGGUUUUAUAUCACCACGAUAUUCACAAACCCAUACUAAUGAUUCUGGUAUACACUCUAUUGGUCUGUGUCUCACAUCUAUUGUGAGAAUGUUACUCCAUUCAUGCAGAAUUUGACUGGCCCUAGGAACUCUAAAGUAUGGUCCAAAAAGGACUUCCAAAACUCGCAUAUUUUCUCGAAGAGAGAUGAUCUGUGUUUGACCAAACUGUCGGAGUACAAGCACCAGGGUAUAUGGUUGUAGACCUCUUAAUCCGAUAAGCUCAAUUUAGUAAACCCCUCUGCACCGUAUGUAAGUCGUGGAACAUGACAGUAGUGGGUAUCUCCACUAGAUUUGGUCACUGGUAUGAGAGGCUGAGAACUCAAACUAAUCAUCGGUGUCGACCGAAGAAACGAACCCCCUCAUUCUGUCAUCAUGAGUGUCGAUCUUAUGCGAAACGGUAAACAUUAUGUCAGUCAUAGUGUCACGCUUAUAGAAAUGUUCUUUUGCCCACAUCUGCAGAAGGAGAUUGCAACCUUUAAAGAACCGUGUUUCACCUCUUUUACACUUUUCAAGUGCGCGAAAUAUUUCUGCCAAGAUCAUAGGAACCAAGGUGAUUUCUGCACCAUCAACUCCUUUAAAAAGUGCUCGGGCCACAGAACAUUUGCAAGUACUGAUCUUUCCAUAUUCUUGUGGAAAAACCAAAGUCCCCAGCAAGGAAACAGCAAAUGCAAUCGGACGUCUAACCCACCAAUGGGUAGAAGUGCAAGUGAAAUCUUUCUUGAAUAGCUUAUAACGAUCGAGACGACUAUAUAUCUCGUACAAAUAAUCCAGAGAAACCCAAUUAUUUUUGAAGCAAUGGAGUUCAUCAGUGUUCUUUAAUCCUAAGCAGCGAAGAAAUUUCUUCUUUUACUGACUGUGCGGGAUAAUCUAACCUCUCCCUUGAUACUUCAAAUUAAAGAAGUAAUAGAUCUCUUCUAAUGUGGGGGUGAGUUUAAAGUCUUUGAAUACAAAGACAACUUGAUCCGGGUCCCAAAAUGGAAUCAAUGUUCUAACCACAUGCUUGUUGGGGGAGAUCUUGAAGAGUGUAGGGAGGAACCCUAAUUUCCCGGUGAUCGCUAAUUUUUUAGUCGAGCCGAAAUUUUCUCACCAUAUCCUCAACUUGUGUGGAACACCUUCGACCAUUCUAAUCUUAGGCACUUGGGGAACUAAAUUCAUCCUACAAGUAAAUGCAAUAAAAUAAGUACACCUUUCCCAAACACGUUGUAUCACAAUUAGGCUUGGAUCCACCUAUCAUUAUCACAUGCACAUAAUAUAAGCGGUUGUCAUCGGGUCGUAAAUCCAUUUGACAUAAGGGCGUUUUCUAAAUUUGUGGAAUGACACCAUGGGCCAAACCACCUAAGGCUUAUACAUGCAUGACCUAUUCAGGGAAGCUCUAUCUAAGUUCUUCUAAGAUUUGACUUGCUAAACAUAAGGUUCUUGAGUGGAUAACUCAAGUGAGAAGGCUACACGGUCAUACAAAAAAAGAUCCGGACACACCGCACAUACGCCAACUCUCCUAAAAUUUGGAAUUUGAAAGAAAUUUGCGAGUGUGCGAAACACACCUCAUGAGUACGUGAUUGUAGAAAUAUGAUCGGAAUGACAUUUUAUAUGAAAUUUAAACAAAUAAACACGUAAUAAUUAGUCACAACAAGUUAGAACAUUUCUUUUGGUUAGAACCUAGAUACAUCCCUAGUGGAGUCGUCAUUUCUAUUUUAUCCCUUUCGGAUUUUAUUUUAAAGAAAAUGGUUUUGACCUUUUCAAACUAUUCAAAAUAGUUUCGCAAAAAAUUUACAAAGUCGCCACUUGAUUUUUUAUCAAAAACAUCAAGAAAAACUUUAAAGAGAUUUCAAAGAUUUAAAAAUAGAAAUAGAUCUUCAAAAUCAGAGAAACUGAGUAAGGGUUCAGUUAACGCUCUAAGAAGAUUUUUACGAUACUUAGGAGCGUCCAUUUUAAAACGAUUCACCAAAAGACUUAUUUUUUACUAACUUUAAAAAGGGGCAAGUUUUUGCAAAAGAGUGAUUUUAUAGAAAUAUCCCUUAACUCAAGAAAUUAUUUAUUUACUAGUUGUGAAGACUUAAAUGACAUUUAUUCGACCAAACAAAAAAUUGAUCUUGUCUAACUUGGGAAAAUUUUCUGUAAAGAAGGUUGAGCUAAAACUCAUUUCCUUUAUAAAUUAUUAUUGUGUAUUUAUUUAUUUGUUAAAUAAAAGGGAGAAAGAAAGUGACUUUUGAACAUCAUUUUUUAUAACAAAAAUAUCUAUCUUCAAAAAAAGUAUCAAUUUAAACAAUUAUGAACUUUGACUAAUUAGUGAAAAUAUGUUUUAACUUUCACGAAGAAAAAUUGAUUUUAGGUUGAUGAGACAACAACAACAAUAAUAACAACAAAUCCAGUGUAUUCCCACAAAGUGUGGUCUGGGGGGGUAAGAUGUAUGCAGACCAUACUGCUACCUCCAAAGAAGUAGAGAGGUUGUUUCCGAUAGACCCCCGGCUCAAGAUAAAGAAUAAUAAACAAGGGGGUGGAUGACAUAAUAGAAAUAAAGAGUAAGGAAUAAUAAAAUAGAAAUCAGAGAAACACGAAAUACGAGAAAUAAGAGCAGCACGAAAAAAGAAAAAAAGGAACUACGAAAUAGGGAAUAGGACACCCACCUAGUAGUACCAUACACUCAUUAACCAAAGACCCCUAUGAACACCCUAACUCGGCUACACAACAUCUCUUCUGACUGCUUGCUACAACCCCCACACUCACACUAGCCUACUACCCUUAUCCGCAACCUCCACACCUUCUUGUCUAGGGUCAUGUCCUCAGAAAACUGUAGCUGCUCCAUGUCAUAUUUAAUCACCUCCCUCUAGUAUUUCUUCGGCCUACCUCUACUCCUCCUGAAGCCAUCCAACGCUAACCUCUCACACCUACGAAUUAGGGCAUCCGCGUCCCUCCUUAUCAUAUGCCCAAACCCUCUCAGCCUUCCUUCUCGUAUCUUGUCCUCUACCGAAGUCACUCCCACCUUCUACCGGAUAAUCUCAUUCUUAACUCUAUCCCCUCUAGUAUGCCCAUACAUCCAACAUAACAUCCUCAUUUUCGCCACCUUCAAUUUUUGGAUGUGGGAGUGUUUGACAGGCCAAUAUUUUGCUCCAUACAAUAUGAUCGGGCGGACUGUCACUCUAUAGAAUUUGCCUUUAAGCGUAAGGGGCAUCUUCUUAUCGCACAACACUCCCGAGGCGAGCCUCCACUUCAUCCAACCUGCUCCAAUACGUUUAGAGAUAUCAUCAUCAAUCUCACAAUUCCCCUGAAUUAUAGACUCAAGAUACUUAAAACUAUCUUUCUUACAAACAUCUUGGGAAUCCAACCUCACCACCACUUCGUCCUCCUGCCUCAAGUCACUAAACUUGCAUUUCAAAUACUCCGUCUUGGACCUACUUAACCAGAACUCCUUAGACUCAAGGGUUUGCCUCCAAACCUCCAAUUUGUCAUUCACACCCCCCUUCUCAUUCUUAACUCUAUCCCCUCUAGUAUGCCCAUACAUCCAACAUAACAUCCUCAUUUUCGCCACCUUCAAUUUUUGGAUGUGGGAGUGUUUGACAGGCCAAUAUUUUGCUCCAUACAAUAUGAUCGGGCGGACUGUCACUCUAUAGAAUUUGCCGUUAAGCGUAAGGGGCAUCUUCUUAUCGCACAACACUCCCGAGGCGAGCCUCCACUUCAUCCAACCUGCUCCAAUACGUUUAGAGAUAUCAUCAUCAAUCUCACAAUUCCCCUGAAUUAUAGACUCAAGAUACUUAAAACUAUCUUUCUUACAAACAUCUUGGGAAUCCAACCUCACCACCACUUCGUCCUCCUGCCUCAAGUCACUAAACUUGCAUUUCAAAUACUCCGUCUUGGACCUACUUAACCAGAACUCCUUAGACUCAAGGGUUUGCCUCCAAACCUCCAAUUUGUCAUUCACACCCCCCUUCUCAUUCUUAACUCUAUCCCCUCUAGUAUGCCCAUACAUCCAACAUAACAUCCUCAUUUUCGCCACCUUCAAUUUUUGGAUGUGGGAGUGUUUGACAGGCCAAUAUUUUGCUCCAUACAAUAUGAUCGGGCGGACUGUCACUCUAUAGAAUUUGCCGUUAAGCGUAAGGGGCAUCUUCUUAUCGCACAACACUCCCGAGGCGAGCCUCCACUUCAUCCAACCUGCUCCAAUACGUUUAGAGAUAUCAUCAUCAAUCUCACAAUUCCCCUGAAUCGCAUCUCAUUAAUUAGCACUACAUCAUCCGCAAAUAACAUACACCAAGGCACCUCACCUUGAAUACUCUGAGUCAACACAUCCAUCACUAAUGCAAAAAGGAACAGACUAAGAGUCGAUCCCUGGUGCAACCCUGUCUCAACCAAAAAAUGCUCUAAGUCUCCUCCCAUCAUCCUCACCCUGGUCUUUCCUCCAUCGUACAUGUUCUUAAUAGCUCUGAUGUACACCACCGUGACCCCUCUCACCUCUAAGUAUCUCUAAAGAACCUCCCUCGGGACUUUAUCAUACGUCUUUUUCAGGUCGAUGAACACUAAGUAUAAGUCUCGCUUUCUUUCUCUAUACUGUUCCACCAGUAUCCUCACCAAGUAGAUUGCCUCUGUCAUCGAGAGAUCAAGCAUAAAUCCAAACUGAUUCUCUGAAACGGACACGACCCUCCUCAAUCUCCGCUCAACCACUCUCGCCCAAAUCUUCAUAGAGUGACUCCACAGCUUAAUACCCCUAUAAUUGUUGCAGCACUAAAUGUCAUCCUUGUUUUUAUAUAACAGAAUCAUCGUACUCUAUCGCCAAGAUUCAGGCAUUCUCGCAGUCUUGAAAAUGUCGUUAAACAAAUCAGUCAACUACCUUAAACCUGCUCCACCAGCGAACUUCUAAAAAUCCACCAGAAUCUCGUCAGACCCCAUCGCUCUACCCCUCCGCAUCCUACUAAUAGCCUCUCUGACCUCCUCAAUCUUAAAACGCCUACAAUAACUGAAAUCACGACUCUCCUUCGAGUGCUCCAGCUCCCCUAACUCAAUGCCUCUGUCCCCCUCUUCAUUCAAAAGUUUAUGAAAGUACUCCUGCCAUCUCUUCUUAAUGUGCACAUCCUCCAUCAAAACACUACCAUCCUCCCAUUUAAUGCACUUCACUAGAUCGAGGUCACGCCCUUCCGCUCCCUAACCUUAGUAAGCCUGUACAACCUUUUUUCCCUGCCUUUCUCCUCUAACCCCGCAUACAAGCUCUUGAACGCUGCUGACUUAGCAGUCGUAACUGCUAACUUAGCCUCCUUCCUUGCUACUUUGUAAACCUCUCUAUUCACCCAUUUCUCAUCUUCAUCUUUACUCUCAAUCAACUUAACAUACGCCCCAUUCUUAACCUCCACUUUAUUCUCCACUUCUUCAUUCCACCACCAAUCCCCCUUAUGGCAACCUGCCCAACCCCUUAAAACACCCAACACUUCUCUAGCAGUUUCCGUGAUACAGUUGGCAGCCCUAUCCCACAGGACAUCCACGUCCCUCUUGCACUCCCAUACCCCCAUUCCCGCUACCUUUUCCCCUAUCUUCAGCGCACUAGCUGGCGUUAAGCUAUCCCACUUAAUUCUAGAUCGACCCUCCCCAGCCCUUCUCCUCUUGCUCUUCUUGAUAGACAAGUUCAUCACAAGCAGCCUGUGCUGCGUCAAAAAGUGCUCAGUCUGAAUGACUUUAAAUCCUUAUAUAACACCUUAUCCCUCUUCCAAAGCAACAGAAAUUCAAUCUGAGUCUAAGCUAUCGCGCUUCAGAAGGUAAUCAAGUGAUCCUCCUUCUUCGAAAAGUUCGUCAUAGCUUGCCAGUAGGACCCUAAUGUACCCAUUGAAGUCCCCUGCUAUGACCAUUUUCUCCGAGCUAGGCACGCUUCUCACCACCUCGUCCAAAUCUUCCCAAAAUCUCGCCUUCACCUCCUCUUCCAAGCCCAUCUACGGCGCAUAAACACUACACACAUGCAGCAUAAACCUCCAAUGACCAACUUAAUCUUCAUCAGUCUAUCACUGACCCUAAUAACCUCCACCACCUAUCCUCUAAGCUCCUCAUUCACUAAGAUGCCGACACCAUUCCGAUGCUUCUCACUCCCUGAGUACUGAAGUUUGUACCCAUCCACAUCCCUGGCCUUAAAUCCUACCCACCUAGUCUCUUGAACACACGUAAUAUUAAUCCUCCUCCUCUUAAGAAUCUUCACCAACUCUACAGACUUACCCUGAAGGGUCUCAAUGUUCCAAGACCCUAUCUUCAAUCUAUCUUCUCUCACCUCUCGCCUACCUCUAACACCCUUCACGGACCUAUACCCCCCACCCAUCCCUGCCCCCCUCCCCACCCCCUCUCAAAAUAUCCUUCACCCCCAACCCCCUCGUACAUGACCCUAUUCCACCAUCGACCCCUCCAGCUACUCCUCAAAAAAAACAAAACAAAGCCUCAAAUCGACAACAAAUGAACAAAGCAACAGUAUGAAAAAAGUAAGAGAAGGCACGCACAAAGUACACUAUCCGACCUAGCAGCUAGCACAACACAACAAAAUCCACCAAUAAGCAAGCAACCAGUCAACACUAUAAUCACAAGAAACAGAAAACAAGAGACAGAAAAAAAAAAACAAGAAACAAAUAAUUAAAGAAACCAAAUUGUAGGAAGUGACUAAAAUAUGAAGGUUUAGAUGUCACUGAUACGCCUGUGUGCUUCUGGUUUUGACAAUUUUGAUGUCGAAAUUGGAUGUCGGAAUAAAGUCGCCGAAAAAAAAGAUCGCAAGUGCCUCGCCGGAGUGUCGCCGAAGCAUCUGCUGGGUAUUGCCAGGAUCUGGACGUCGAAAAAAAAUCGCUGCUGCACACUUGCACUUCGUCGGAGUCGAGCCGACGGGAAUCCUAAUCCCGCCAGCGAUAGUAGUGAUGAGACAACAGAAAAAAAGGGGAAAGAGGGAAGAAAAUAGAGAAAACUGGGGAAGAGAGAUUAAACUCUACCUAUUGCCGGCGUGACUACACCGGCGCCGGCACCAAAGUCAGUCAGUCAGAUGAAGCUGACGUUACUGGGGUACGUUGAAGGGGUACAUUAAAGUGAACGUUCUCUCUAUCAAGAGAACCGGUCCACAGCAAAACUAUAAUGAGAACACAAAACUUUUGCUUGUCGCAGUAUUCAAAACAAAAGUAAAUUAGAAAAUAGUAAUCAAGAAGGUUAAGAGACAAGAGAGACAAGGACAACACAGAUUCGAAAUAUUUGAGGAAAACAGUGAUCUUUAGGUUGAUGAGAAUUCUUUUAAUUUAAAUGAAUUAUUUUAACAUAUUGAUAAAAUAAAAUGUCAUUUUGACUUUUUUAAAAAGCUCACUCUAAGGAGGAAGAUAUAUUUUUUAUUAAUUUAGAAUAUUACGCUAUGUGAUAAAAUACUUAAAAGAAAAAUCCAGAGAUAAACAAAAAUGACGAUUCAAAGGGGAUCUAUUAAGGUUAACCAAUUUUAAGAAAUUAAUACCAACGCAUAAUCAAAUUCAAUUUACAUGAAAUGUAUAAGAAAGGUUAAAACCUGAGCCCUUUUAGCCCAUUUCAAAGCUGGCCGACCUUUGGGCCAAUUUCCUAUGGACUUUGGGCCCUUUUUCUGCAUUUGUAUACCAGCUGUAUACCGAGCGUAUAUCAGCCACGUUUUUCAGCAUUUUUUUUUUGUAUAUACACUGUAUAUCAGUGUGUAAACACCCGUAUAUUCGCUCCCGACUCUAUUGCAUCAUGUGUUGACGUAUAUUAGCCGCCUUCAACUUGAAAAAAAUCUGUAUAUAUGUCGUAUACAGGUGUAUACCAGCCUUGUUUUUUGUCCUUUGGUUCAUUUUGAAACUUUGACGUGGAGUUUGACUCGACGGAUAUGCAAGGGGGAAGUCCGUUUGGACUCAUUGGGGUGCCACAUGCGAAAACAAAGAUGAAAGAGUAGUAUUCAGGUCAUGAGAAGAAAUCGUCAAAUAAAGCAAAACAUAAAAAAAGAAACUAGUCACGAAGUUGUAGCACAUUUUAAUGGUAGAUCAAUUUAAGUAAGAUGUAACGGCAAGAGAGAUUAACAGAGUAAAUAAAUUUACGCGAUACUUGACCAACUUCAAGCGCAUUUUCGUAAUCGAAUCAUUCAUAGCCUUCAAGAUUUUAAGAGGCUGCCAUAUUGAUCCUUAACCAAGGUCCAAACAUGACCUUGGUUUCACAUAUCAAAGGCCACAAGGAAGGAAAAGAGAAAGAGAUGUGCAGUAGUUAAAAAUAAAAAAAGACACAAAAUAACAAAGUUCUACUCUCCACAUAUGGAUCACUCUGCAUAAAGGCAUAAAAAAAAAAAAAAUUCAUAGGCCAAGUGACUUGCAGCCACAAUGAAACUAAUCUUGGCCUUAAGCACCCUUUUUACAGAUUAUGCUGUAAAUUCAAAAUUUGGAGAAUCUAACUCAACGUUUAUCCAAAUCACAACACCAAUUAUUCAAACUACUAUUUUAACUAUAAUACUAAACUAACCAUAAUACUAAACUCUCACAUGUGUAAAACUACAACAAUAAUUCAAACACUAAAUCAAACAAUAACGGUUGAAAAUCACCCAACUACAUGUUUCAGGAGGCCAAGGCCGAGAGAAAAAUGGUCGAGGCUCUUACGCACAAGUUUAACAAAAUCAUCCAUGUACUGUAUAUUCAACAAAUCGAAAUCAUAGAUUUUUUUAUAGGCGUUGGUUUCUACCAAAGAAAGAACAGUAAGAAAUAAUGAAAUCCUUUAUGUAUUCAACUCAUACUGGAAGCAGAACAAAAUGUAUGUUUAAAGAUUCCCUAACUUAACGCCACAAGAAAACACAAUCAACGUUCAUGAAGUCGGAUUUCAAAUUUUCAACAGCGACGCCACACCAAAUCAAUCAGACAACCAAAAAACUUCCAACAUCAACGAAUCAACAAGCCUCACGAUAGAGGUAUCCGAAUUUUUUUAUAACAAAUAAACACAAAUAAAGGAUGUAAAAGGUGAAGCCUUCACCUAUUUUCGGGCAGCAACUAGGACAACGAGCCUUAGACAAGCGGACUUUCACCACCGGAAUGACGAUAACUCGUUGGCUUUCACGACCCGAUUGCCGAUUAGCCUUGCCAGAGUUCAACAGUUUUUCCGGAACUCUAUUUUCGCAGUGUGUUCGUGAGAAUUUUGGUUAUGUGAGGUUAAAAUCAAGGGCUUUAGAACCCCCAAUUUUUUCCCAAAAUCCCCUCCUUUCCCUUCUAUCUCCCAUCACCUAUUUAUAGAAGACAAUGGGGGGAGUCCACUAGGGUUUUGGAUUUGAAUUCAAUGGAUUUCAAAUCCGAAUUUGAGAAAUUUGAGUUCCACAAUAGGACGAAAAAUCAUUAAUGGUCUUUGUACCUCAAGAUCACUGGAAAGGUGAGGAAAAGAGCCGUUGGUGGUGUUGGUCAAGGGGUAGAUUAAUUUUUUGCCCGAAUUAGUGAACCACAAACUGAAAAAAAAAUGAAAGCUUCUGAAUUUGACCAUAAAUGGCUGAACGCAGGGGUAAAGCAGUAAUAGUGGAGGGCGGCUAGGGUUCGGUUCUGGUGCAUGCCGUUUGGCAUUGAAGCUGUUAGAGUUGGAACGGGUUUUUUCCGGGUCGGGUCUUUGUCGGGUCGGUUGGUCGUGGUUUGCAUGCUGUUGUCGAAUGUUGUUGAUGAUAACGCUAUUUUGUUGUUGCUGUUACACGCUGUUUGUUGUUGCUGGUUAAGGGGAAAAUGAGAAAGAGAAUUGGGCCGGUUUAAGGAAAUUGGGCUGGCUGGGGUAUAGGGUUGUUGGUUUGCUGAAAAGGGCUACUGCUAGGUGUUGUUGUUAUUAAGUGGGCUGCCAACAGCCCAAAAUUAAAAAUUAGAAUUUGAUUGGGAGUUUUCGGGGGUGAAUCUAAAAAAUAGAUCUAAAUUGUGG
rnacentral:lncRNA from 1 species